CUGCUAACCCUCCCAUGAAACCUUUCCAUUUCAAUUUUGUAUAAAAGUAGCAAAAAAACUGACUUUAAUAAUGAAACUCCAAAACCCACCUGCAAUUAUACACCUAAUACAGCACAUAAAGCAAACCAAUCACAAAACCCCUAAAUCUUACUCUCCAUAAUUGCCGAAACCUAUCCCCAAACCCCCCACACAUCGACGCCACUACAACAAACCCCGACAGUGCCGCCGCG
rnacentral:lncRNA from 1 species